GUGCUUAACACAUGCAAGUCGAGCGGUAAGGCCCUUCGGGGUACACGAGCGGCGAACGGGUGAGUAACACGUGGGUAAUCUGCCUCAUACUCUGGGAUAAGCCUGGGAAACUGGGUCUAAUACCGGAUAGGACCAUCGCGGGCAUCCGUGGUGGUGGAAAGUUCCGGCGGUAUGGGAUGAGCCCGCGGCCUAUCAGCUUGUUGGUGGGGUAGUGGCCUACCAAGGCGACGACGGGUAGCCGGCCUGAGAGGGUGACCGGCCACACUGGGACUGAGACACGGCCCAGACUCCUACGGGAGGCAGCAGUGGGGAAUAUUGCUACAAUGGGCGAAAGCCUGAUGCAGCGACGCCGCGUGAGGGAUGACGGCCUUCGGGUUGUAAACCUCUUUCGCCAGGGACGAAGCGCAAGUGACGGUACCUGGAGAAGA
rnacentral:rRNA from 1 species